rnacentral:tRNA from 1 species
GAGGGUAUAGCUCAAGUGGUAGGGGGCAUGCUUGGCAUGCACGAGUUCCUGGGUUCAAUCCCCAGUACCUCCU